rnacentral:rRNA from 1 species
GAUGAACGCUGGCGGCGUGCCUAAUACAUGCAAGUCGAACGCAUUGUGGUUGAAAUGAUAUGAAGAACUUGUUCAGAUUUGAUUUUCAACAUUGCAAUGAGUGGCGAACGGGUGAGUAACACGUGGGAAACCUACCUCUUAGCAGGGGAUAACAUUUGGAAACAAAUGCUAAUACCGUAUAAUAAUUAAAACCGCAUGGUUUUAGUUUAAAAGAUGGUCUUGCUAUCACUAAGAGAUGGUCCCGCGGUGUAUUAGUUAGUUGGUGAGGUAAUGGCUCACCAAGACAAUGAUACAUAGCCGAGUUGAGAGACUGACCGGCCACAAUGGGACUGAGACACGGCCCAUACUCCUACGGGAGGCAGCAGUAGGGAAUCUUCCACAAUGGACGAAAGUCUGAUGGAGCAACGCCGCGUGUGUGAUGAAGGGUUUCGGCUCGUAAAACACUGUGUAAGAGAAGAAUGACAUUGAGAGUAACUAGUUCAAUGUGUGACGGUAUCUUAACC